GACGAACGCUGGCGGCGUGCUUAACACAUGCAAGUCGAACGGAAAGGCCCUGCUUUUGUGGGGUGCUCGAGUGGCGAACGGGUGAGUAACACGUGAGUAACCUGCCCUUGACUUUGGGAUAACUUCAGGAAACUGGGGCUAAUACCGGAUAGGAGCUCCUGCUGCAUGGUGGGGUUGGAAAGUUUCGGCGGUUGGGGAUGGACUCGCGGCUUAUCAGCUUGUUGGUGGGGUAGUGGCUUACCAAGGCUUUGACGGGUAGCCGGCCUGAGAGGGUGACCGGCCACAUUGGGACUGAGAUACGGCCCAGACUCCUACGGGAGGCAGCAGUGGGGAAUAUUGCACAAUGGGCGGAAGCCUGAUGCAGCAACGCCGCGUGCGGGAUGACGGCCUUCGGGUUGUAAACCGCUUUCGCCUGUGACGAAGCGUGAGUGACGGUAAUGGGUAAAGAAGCACCGGCUAACUACGUGCCAGCAGCCGCGGUGAUACGUAGGGUGCGAGCGUUGUCCGGAUUUAUUGGGCGUAAAGGGCUCGUAGGUGGUUGAUCGCGUCGGAAGUGUAAUCUUGGGGCUUAACCCUGAGCGUGCUUUCGAUACGGGUUGACUUGAGGAAGGUAGGGGAGAAUGGAAUUCCUGGUGGAGCGGUGGAAUGCGCAGAUAUCAGGAGGAACACCAGUGGCGAAGGCGGUUCUCUGGGCCUUUCCUGACGCUGAGGAGCGAAAGCGUGGGGAGCGAACAGGCUUAGAUACCCUGGUAGUCCACGCUGUAAACGGUGGGUACUAGGUGUGGGGUCCAUUCCACGGGUUCCGUGCCGUAGCUAACGCUUUAAGUACCCCGCCUGGGGAGUACGGCCGCAAGGCUAAAACUCAAAGGAAUUGACGGGGCCCCGCACAAGCGGCGGAGCAUGCGGAUUAAUUCGAUGCAACGCGUAGAACCUUACCUGGGUUUGACAUGGAUCGGGAGUGCUCAGAGAUGGGUGUGCCUCUUUUGGGGUCGGUUCACAGGUGGUGCAUGGCUGUCGUCAGCUCAUGUCGUGAGAUGUUGGGUUAAGUCCCGCAACGAGCGCAACCCUUGUUCACUGUUGCCAGCACGUUAUGGUGGGGACUCAGUGGAGACCGCCGGGGUCAACUCGGAGGAAGGUGGGGAUGACGUCAAGUCAUCAUGCCCCUUAUGUCCAGGGCUUCACGCAUGCUACAAUGGCUGGUACAGAGAGUGGCGAGCCUGUGAGGGUGAGCGAAUCUCGGAAAGCCGGUCUCAGUUCGGAUUGGGGUCUGCAACUCGACCUCAUGAAGUCGGAGUCGCUAGUAAUCGCAGAUCAGCAACGCUGCGGUGAAUACGUUCCCGGG
rnacentral:rRNA from 1 species